GAUGAACGCUGGCGGCGUGCCUAAUACAUGCAAGUCGAGCGAAGCGGGGACGGGUGAGUAACACGUGGAUAACCUCCUAUAAGACUGGGAUAACUUCGGGAAACCCGAGCUAAACCGGCUACUCAUAGCUCGAUCCGCGCUGCAUUCGCUAGUUGGUAAGGUAACGGCUUACCAAGGCAACGAUGCAUAGCCGACCUGAGAGGGUGAUCGGCCACACUGGAACUGAGACACGGUCCAGACUCCUACGGGAGGCAGCAGUGGGGAAUAUUCCGCAAUGGGCGAAAGCCUGACGGAGCAACGCCGCGUGAGUGAUGAAGGUCUUCGGAUCGUAAAGCACUGUUAGUAGGGAGGCGGUACCUAAACAGAAAGCCACGGCUAACUACGUGCCAGCCGCCGCGGUAAUAC
rnacentral:rRNA from 1 species